UACGAGGGGGGCGAGCGUUGUUCGGAAUUAUUGGGCGUAAAGGGCGCGUAGGCGGUGCGGUAAGUCACCUGUGAAACCUCUAGGCUUAACCUAGAGCCUGCAGGCGAAACUGCCGUGCUGGAGUGUGGGAGAGGUGCGUGGAAUUCCCGGUGUAGCGGUGAAAUGCGCAGAUAUCGGGAGGAACACCGGUGGCGAAGGCGGUUCUCUGGGCCUGACCUGACGCUGAGGAGCGAAAGCGUGGGGAGCGAACAGG
rnacentral:rRNA from 1 species